GGUGAACGCUAGCGGUGCGCCUAACACAUGCAAGUCGAGCGGUAGAAUUUUCUAGCUUGCUAGAAAAUUUGAGAGCGGCGAACGGGUGAGUAACACGUUGGAAUCUGCCCCCAAGUCAGGGAUAGCCAUUGGAAACGAUGAUUAAUACCGGAUGUGCUCUUCGGAGUAAAGAUUUAUCGCUUGGGGAGGAUCCUGCGUACUAUCAGCUUGUUGGUGAGGUAACUGCUCACCAAGGCUAUGACGGUUAACUGGUCUGAGAGGAUGAUCAGUCACAAUGAAACUGAGACACGGUUCAU
rnacentral:rRNA from 1 species